AGUGAACGUUGGCGGCGUGGAUUAGGCAUGCAAGUCGAGCGAGAACCGUAGCAAUACGGGGACAGCGGCGAAAGGGACAGUAAUGUGUAGGUACCUACCCCGAGGUCUGGGAUAGCUGCGGGAAACUGCAGGUAAUACCGGAUAAUGUCUUCGGACCAAAGGUGUGAUUCCACCUUGGGAGGGGCCUGCAUCCUAUUAGCUAGUUGGCGGGGUAAUGGCCCACCAGGGCAACGAUGGGUAGCGGGUGUGAGAGCACGACCCGCGUCAUUGGGACUGAGAUACUGCCCAGACACCUACGGGUGGCUGCAGUCGAGGAUCUUCGGCAAUGGGCGAAAGCCUGACCGAGCGACGCCGCGUGCGGGAUGAAGGCCUUCGGGUUGUAAACCGCUGUCGUAGAGGAGGAAAUGCAGGGGGGUUCUCCCUUCUGUUUGACCUAUUCUAGGAGGAAGGACGGGCUAAGUUCGUGCCAGCCGCCGCAGUAA
rnacentral:rRNA from 1 species